rnacentral:hammerhead_ribozyme from 1 species
AUCCAGAUGACGAUUCCCAGAUAGAACGAAACGCGCAUCCUGGAU